AGCGAACGCUGGCGGCAGGCCUAACACAUGCAAGUCGAACGAACUCUUCGGAGUUAGUGGCGGACGGGUGAGUAACACGUGGGAACGUGCCCUUUGGUACGGAAUAACUCAGGGAAACUUGAGCUAAUACCGUAUGUGCCCUUCGGGGGAAAGAUUUAUCGCCAUUGGAGCGGCCCGCGUCUGAUUAGCUAGUUGGUGAGGUAAAGGCUCACCAAGGCUACGAUCAGUAGCUGGUCUGAGAGGAUGAUCAGCCACAUUGGGACUGAGACACGGCCCAAACUCCUACGGGAGGCAGCAGUGGGGAAUCAUGCGCAAUGGGCGAAAGCCUGACGCAGCCAUGCCGCGUGAAUGAUGAAGGUCUUAGGAUUGUAAAAUUCUUUCACCGGGGACGAUAAUGACGGUACCCGGAGAAGAAGCCCCGGCUAACUUCGUG
rnacentral:rRNA from 1 species